UUGUAAGAACUCCAACCAAAAACAGAGCAAAUGUCGUCACACUCAAUCCUGAAAUAUAAGAUUUGAAUUGUAGUUGCCCUCUCAUCCAGUAAAAAAUACUUGAAAAAAACAACCUUCUCCUUCUCCUAAUCAUCAUCACAUCAGUGAUUUGGCUACAGAGGAGGGUCUGUCUAUUUGAGGGUGUGAUGGUAGAAAAGUGAAGAAAGAAAUUAGCUUUACUGAUGGGUUGCCGCUCAAGAGGUCAAAGCGUUGUUGUAACAGACUUAUUAUCACUAUAAUAUCUUUCAAUCACGCACGUGAAAGGUGCCAACGGGUCCGGUAGCCUAAUGUCUGCAUGUCCUCCGGCUCGCUCAAUCCUCAAUCCAUAUGGGACAGAUUCCUAGCGGACGCAGGGCGCUGGGCAGCAGCUUUGUUCGACUCCAGCGCGAGCGCAGCUCACGUGAACUUCACCAGGAUACAGUAAUUAGAGUCCAGGUGUAGCUAUUUCACGACGUCGCGAAUCGGAGCCAGUUGUGAAUUUGUUUCUAUUGCUAGGCUAUCCAGACUGAGCGCAUCAGGUUUGUCAGCAUAUAGAUACACCUAUUAACACCUUCAAAAUAAGUAGCCUGUUUAUUUAAAGAAAACUGCAAAUUUCAACUUGAAAACAUGUAACGAAGAAUUGUAUUGUGUAUUAAACAAAAUAGACAUUUUCGCAUUAUUUUUUCAGUUGGCAAAUAGGCGUUUAUUUGAAGUUCACAUCUUCUAAUUUCCGGCAUUGUUUCACCUUACAGUGUGUAAUUUGGCGCUAGUAUACCUGCAACCCUGCAAGGAGUCUCCCUCCUUCCCUCACUGUCUCUGGGUGUGUCCCCAGUUGAAAGCCUGAACAUAUCGCCCAGGUGUGACAUUUUUGGAGUGCCUCAUUGGAACCGCAACCUGCUGAGAAGAUGACGGACUCUACAUUGCCGGACUCCACCGCCGUCCCGGACCCGGUUGUAGCGGACCCCACGGCGUUGAACGGGCAGUGCGAGGAGACGGGCUCCCAGCAGCAGCAGCCCAACACAGAAAGCCAGGGAGAGGGUUUUAAGAUGGACCAGGAGAUGAAGAUAACAGACAGCAUAGAGGAUGGAGGUCUUCUGGAAAGCAGCAUGCGUCUGAAGCCUCAUGAAGCACAGAGUUACCGAAAGAAAGCUCUGUGGGUGUCUUGGGUGUCCAUAGGGGUCACAAUUAUCCUGGCCAUUGCUGCUUUCACUGUUUCCAUCAUGCGCCACAGUGCUUCAGCUUUUGGAUUUGCUUUUGAUGCAACGCUGGAUGUGUUAUCCUCUGUCAUUGUACUGUGGCGGUACAGCAAUGCUGCAGCCGUCCACUCAGCACACCGUGAAUACAUAGCCUGUGUUAUCUUGGGUGUGAUUUUCGUCCUGUCCUCCUUGUGCAUUAUGGGUAAGGCCAUCCAUGACCUGGCCACCAAGCUGCUACCUGAAGUGGAUGACUUCCUGUUCAGUGUUUCCAUCGUCAGCGGCUUGGUGUGCAUCACCCUAGCUGUGAUCAAGUUUAUGCUUGGCAAAGUGCUCACGAGCCGGGCCCUCAUCACCGAUGGAUUCAAUUCGCUGGUGGGGGGAGUCAUGGGGUUCUCCAUCCUCAUCAGUGCUGAAGUGUUCAAGCAUGAACCCCAGGUGUGGUACCUUGACGGGACAAUAGGCGUCCUCAUAGGUCUUAUCAUCCUCGCCUAUGGAGUCAAGCUGCUGCUUGACAUGGUCCCCCGGGUCCGUCAAACCAGGAACUACGAGCGUUUUGAGUGACAGACCACAGAGGAAAGAAAGAGGGAGAAUACGAGGGUUUGGGAGGGAUGGAAAGAGGGCUGACCAACUGACUGACUGACUGACAGGGCAAGGACGGGGGUUACAGUUCCCACAGUAUCAGACGGUCAAAUUCAGUCCAGGGGGGCCAGCGGAGGCUCCAGUGUCUAUACAGUCCUCCCAUUCAAAGACUUGAACUGUGUAUCCAGGCUGAUGACAAUGCGGGUGGAUAUAAUUCUUGGCGCCUUUUUAAGUGUGUUAAAAUUUGGUGUACAUAUUAUAUAUUUAUGUGUCUUUAACAGUGAAUGGGGCAGUGUGUUCUUUCAUCCCUCCGUAUUUAAACAAGAGAUAGAGACUGAGACGAGCUUGGACUGCAGGAGACAUAUAUGGACCCAGAGACUCCAUAACUCCUUAGAAGCAACAUAUUUUUGUACAGCAGCUUGAUGUACAGUUCCUCAGUUACAGCCCAUUGCCCUGUCAAAACACAGCAGUUUAUUUUCCCGCGGGGUUGCCAGAGGCCUUUGCUCAGCUGUGCUAUAAAAUGUUGCAGUGUGGCAGGUCACACUGAUUGAUGUAGCUGAUGUAGCAGUGCAGGAUGAAUGGUGCUUUACCUUUUAUAUCAACAGAGAGGAUAUAUUAAUACAAGGCCCAUUUGGCAUGGGGAGCAGGAAUAUAAGCACACACACACACACACACACACACACACACAAACACACAAACACACACACACACGCACACACAUAGGAUCAGUAACACGUGAGUUGCUGUUUGUAAUAUUUAUCUAGACUGUUGUGGCGGGAGCAGAAGCCUGGAGUGAGCACAGUCUCAGCAAACUAAUGCCAGCGCCAGCUUACAAUCCUGGAGGAUAGAAAGCCUGUUUUUGGCCUCCAUUCACUAAGAGUCAUGACCUGACUCGGCGUCCAAUUUACUGAACAUGUAGCAAAAAUAGCAAAAGCUAGCUGAGCAACUGAGCUUCUGCUAUUUUCCUUCUCCUUAUAAAGGUAUGAGAAAUAUUUUAAUUUAAACCAAAUUUGUCUUAAACAAUGUGGACUGAUGAGUGAACUUUAUUGAAAAGUAAAGAGGAAAGGCAAUCAGUUGUUGUGUGUAUGUACCCUCAUUUCAUAUUACACAAUAACUAUAUGAGCAAGAAAGAAGGAAAUCAGCAUUACAGUGACUUAAGGAAAGAAAAGGAGAGAAAGGAGUGAUUGUGAAGGACGUGGAGUAAAAAGGGGCAGGCAGACACAGGUUGAACUCGCUGCACUGAUCAUGGCUUAAGGUUGCCACCUUUUUGUUUUGAAGUUGAAGUGACAAACCCAAGAAUGUAACUUGCACAUGCAUAACUUGCACCAUCUACUGACCAGAAGAUGUACAUGUCACACACGUUAAUAUGUUUGAAUGUGCAUGUAAUACAGACAAAGCUCUGCACCGAAGUCUUAAGACACUUUAGGUGAGAGCAAAGCUUUUUAAAUACAUAAGACAAAAGAAAAUGUUUAUUCCUGAACCCUGUCAGCACUCAGUUUAUAAAAGAUACAAUUUUUUGGUCAUGGGUCAUCGUCAGGCUUCAAAUUUACAAUAUCAAACAACUUUAGACCAAUGCGAAAGGCUGCACGAGCUAAUACAAAGAGGAGCUAGAUCUCAAACAGCUGUGAGAGUUACCACAUCAA